CAGUAGCCGCGGUAAUACGUAGGGUGCAAGCGUUAAUCGGAAUUACUGGGCGUAAAGCGUGCGCAGGCGGUUCUAUAAGACAGAUGUGAAAUCCCCGGGCUCAACCUGGGAACUGCAUUUGUGACUGUAGAGCUGGAGUGCGGCAGAGGGGGAUGGAAUUCCGCGUGUAGCAGUGAAAUGCGUAGAUAUGCGGAGGAACACCGAUGGCGAAGGCAAUCCCCUGGGCCUGCACUGACGCUCAUGCACGAAAGCGUGGGGAGCAAACAGGAUUAGAUACCCCUGUAGUCCCUGUCUCUUAUAC
rnacentral:rRNA from 1 species